ACUUGGAUAGCUCAGCGGUAGAGCAUCAGACUGUGGAUCUGAUUGUGGAAGGUUCGAAUCCUUCUCCAAACC
rnacentral:tRNA from 1 species